rnacentral:rRNA from 1 species
UACGUAGGUGGCAAGCGUUGUUCGGAAUUAUUGGGCGUAAAGGGCGCGUAGGCGGCCUGUUAAGUCAGCUGUGAAAGCCCGGGGCUCAACCCCGGAGGGUCAGCUGAUACUGGCAGGCUAGAGUACGGAAGAGGUAGCUGGAAUUCCCGGUGUAGCGGUGAAAUGCGCAGAUAUCAGGAGGAACACCUGAGGCGAAGGCGGGCUACUGGGCCGAUACUGACGCUGAUGCGCGAAAGCCAGGGGAGCGAACGGG